UACGUAGGGGCAAGCGUUGUCCGGAAUCAUUGGGCGUAAAGAGCGUGUAGGCGGCUCGGUAAGUCCGCUGUGAAAGUCCAGGGCUCAACCCUGGAAUGCCGGCGGAAACUGUCGAGCUAGAGUCCGGAAGAGGCGAGUGGAAUUCCUGGUGUAGCGGUGAAAUGCGCAGAUAUCAGGAGGAACACCGGUGGCGAAGGCGGUGGUCUGGGCCGGCACUGACGCUGAGGAGCGAAAGCGUGGGGAGCGAACAGG
rnacentral:rRNA from 1 species